AGGCUUAACACAUGCAAGUCGAGGGGCAGCGCGGCGGAAGCUUGCUUCCGCUGGCGGCGACCGGCGCACGGGUGCGUAACGCGUAUCCAACUUGCCCUUGUCCCGGGGAUAGCCUCGCGAAAGCGAGAAUAAUACCCGGUGUAGCCACGGUUCCGCAUGGAAUUGUGGCGAUAGGUCCGCCGGACAAGGAUAGGGAUGCGUCCCAUUAGGCAGUAGGCGGGGUAACGGCCCACCUAACCGACGAUGGGUAGGGGUUCUGAGAGGAAGGUCCCCCACAUUGGAACUGAGACACGGUCCAAACUCCUACGGGAGGCAGCAGUGAGGAAUAUUGGUCAAUGGGCGCGAGCCUGAACCAGCCAAGUAGCGUGCAGGAAGACGGCCCUAUGGGUUGUAAACUGCUUUUGCAGGAGGAUAAUAUGUCCCACGUGUGGGAUAUUGCAGGUAUCCUGCGAAUAAGGACCGGCUAAUUCCGUGCCAGCAGCCGCGGUAAUACGGAAGGUCCGGGCGUUAUCCGGAUUUAUUGGGUUUAAAGGGAGCGUAGGCGGGAGAUCAAGUCAGUUGUGAAAAGCAGCCGCUCAACGGUUGUCGUGCAGUUGAUACUGGUUUUCUUGAGUGCGCGCGAGGAUGGUGGAAUUUGUGGUGUAGCGGUGAAAUGCUUAGAUAUCACAAAGAACUCCGAUUGCGAAGGCAGCUGUCCGGAGCGCAACUGACGCUGAGGCUCGAAGGUGCGGGUAUCAAACAGGAUUAGAUACCCUGGUAGUCCGCACGGUAAACGAUGGAUGCUAGUGGUCGGCGACAGACUGUCGGUCACCGAGCGAAAGCGUUAAGCAUCCCACCUGGGGAGUACGCCGGCAACGGUGAAACUCAAAGGAAUUGACGGGGGCCCGCACAAGCGGAGGAACAUGUGGUUUAAUUCGAUGAUACGCGAGGAACCUUACCCGGGCUUGAAUUGCAGCUGCAUGGAGCAGAGAUGUUCCUUCCCUU
rnacentral:rRNA from 1 species